rnacentral:rRNA from 1 species
GGGCCCGCACAAGCGGUGGAGUAUGUGGUUUAAUUCGAUGCAACGCGAAGAACCUUACCAGGGCUUAAAUGUAGUCUGACAGGGGUGGAAACACCCCCUCCUUCGGGCAGAUUACAAGGUGCUGCAUGGUUGUCGUCAGCUCGUGCCGUGAGGUGUCAGGUUAAGUCCUAUAACGAGCGCAACCCCUGCCGUUAGUUGCCAGCAUGUAAUGAUGGGAACUCUAACGGGACUGCCGGUGCAAACCGCGAGGAAGGUGGGGAUGACGUCAAAUCAUCACGGCCCUUACGUCCUGGGCUACACACGUGCUACAAUGGCCGGUACAGAGGGCAGCCACACCGCAAGGUGGAGCGAAUCCUUAAAACCGGUCUCAGUUCGGAUCGUAGGCUGCAACUCGCCUACGUGAAGGAGGAAUCGCUAGUAAUCGCAGGUC